rnacentral:lncRNA from 1 species
CCAACGAGGAGCAGUUCAUUGUCCCAUUUCCCCAGAGCUCCUAUAAUAACUUCUUUUGUGGUAUAUAUUACCCAGCACCACGGUGAUGCGUUUACCUGUUUAUAAGUCUCUUGCUGCCACCAGUUUGUGAAUUCUUGGAGGCAGGAAUUGUUUUCUCUACCUCUGUUUCUCUGGUGCUCAACAUAGAAGUUGGCAUGGAGUAGGGGCCCAGUGAUGGACUAAAGAAGGAAUGAGUGGACACACCUGCUGCCCUGGGAUGCUUUUUGUCCAGGAAUUCACUGGCACGGACUUCGAUAGGAUGGGAUAGGGCACUUAGUGGCCAGGCUGGUCAUUCUUAGGACAGACGUCUGAGCCCUAGGAGAGACCAAAGAGACUCAUUAGGCAACCGAUCAAGCAGUCAAUCAGUCAAUCAACCAGCAAGCCAGGGACAAAGC